UUCAUGAUUUUUCUUCCCUCUCUUCACUUAGUUGUUGCUUCUGCGAAAAAUGAUGAUCGGAGUUGAGGCCGAUCAUUCUUUUGUCCUUUUUGAUCUGAUUUUGCAGUGUAUUCAAGUCUUCAUUGAUUUUUGCAGCUCUAAUCUCAUGUUUGUUGUUGUUGCUGAGCACAAAUAUGGACUAUUGAUGAUGUCGGAGCUCCGACGGCUUGUGUUGUUCCAUCUCUCUUCCUUUCCAUCAGGUACAUUCCCAAAUUCUUGAUUUCUCCAUUGCACAUAUCUUUUAAAUUCCUCCGUAUCUCUGUCUUGUUGACAAUUAUUGAAGCUCUGCCUUUUCUGCCUA